GUGUCAGCAGCCGCGGUAACACGAACCGUACGAACGUUAUUCGGAAUUACUGGGCUUAAAGGGUGCGUAGGCGGCUCAGAAAGUUGGGUGUGAAAGCCCUCGGCUUAACCGAGGAACUGCGCUCAAAACUACUGGGCUUGAGGAAGACAGAGGUGAGCGGAACUACGGGUGGAGCGGUGAAAUGCGUUGAUAUCCGUAGGAACACCAGGGGCGAAAGCGGCUCACUGGGUCUUUUCUGACGCUGAGGCACGAAAGCCAGGGGAGCGAACGGGAUUAGAAACCCUUGUAGUCC
rnacentral:rRNA from 1 species